GACGAACGCUGGCGGCGUGCUUAACACAUGCAAGUCGAGCGGUAAGGCCCUUUCGGGGGUACACGAGCGGCGAACGGGUGAGUAACACGUGGGUGACCUGCCCUUAGCUCUGGGAUAAGCCUGGGAAACUGGGUCUAAUACCGGAUAUGACUCCAUAACGCAUGUUGUGGGGUGGAAAGCCUUGUGCGGCUAGGGAUGGGCCCGCGGCCUAUCAGCUUGUUGGUGGGGUGAUGGCCUACCAAGGCGACGACGGGUAGCCGGCCUGAGAGGGCGACCGGCCACACUGGGACUGAGACACGGCCCAGACUCCUACGGGAGGCAGCAGUGGGGAAUCUUGCGCAAUGGCCGAAAGGCUGACGCAGCGACGCCGCGUGGGGAGGAAGGGCUUCGGCUCGUAAACCCCUGUUGCCCGGGGCGAACAUCCUUUUUCGAGAGGACUGACGGUACCGGGUGAGGAAGCACCGGCUAACUCCGUGCCAGCAG
rnacentral:rRNA from 1 species